rnacentral:rRNA from 1 species
UACGUAGGGUGCGAGCGUUAAUCGGAAUUACUGGGCGUAAAGCGUGCGCAGGCGGUUCGUUGUGUCGGCGGUGAAAGCCCCGGGCUUAACCUGGGAAUGGCCGUUGAAACUGGCGAACUGGAGUGUAGCAGAGGGGGGUGGAAUUCCGCGUGUAGCAGUGAAAUUCGUAGAUAUUCGGAGGAACACCAGUGGCGAAGGCGGCUCACUGGCUCGACACUGACGCUGAGGUGCGAAAGCGUGGGGAGCAAACAGG